GACGAACGCUGGCGGCGUGCCUAAUACAUGCAAGUAGAACGCUGAAGGAGGAGCUUGCUCUUCUGGAUGAGUUGCGAACGGGUGAGUAACGCGUAGGUAACCUGCCUGGUAGCGGGGGAUAACUAUUGGAAACGAUAGCUAAUACCGCAUAACAGUAGAUGUCGCAUGACAUUUGCUUAAAAGGUGCAAUUGCAUCACUACCAGAUGGACCUGCGUUGUAUUAGCUAGUUGGUGAGGUAACGGCUCACCAAGGCAACGAUACAUAGCCGACCUGAGAGGGUGAUCGGCCACACUGGGACUGAGACACGGCCCAGACUCCUACGGGAGGCAGCAGUAGGGAAUCUUCGGCAAUGGACGGAAGUCUGACCGAGCAACGCCGCGUGAGUGAAGAAGGUUUUCGGAUCGUAAAGCUCUGUUGUAAGAGAAGAACGAGUGUGAGAGUGGAAAGUUCACACUGUGACGGUAUCUUACCAGAAAGGGACGGCUAACUACGUGCCAGCAGCCGCGGUAAUACGUAGGUCCCGAGCGUUGUCCGGAUUUAUUGGGCGUAAAGCGAGCGCAGGCGGUUAGAUAAGUCUGAAGUUAAAGGCUGUGGCUUAACCAUAGUACGCUUUGGAAACUGUUUAACUUGAGUGCAAGAGGGGGAGAGUGGAAUUCCAUGUGUAGCGGUGAAAUGCGUAGAUAUAUGGAGGAACACCGGUGGCGAAUGCGGGCUCUCUGGCUUGUAACUGACGCUGAGGCUCGAAAGCUUGGUGAGCUAACAGG
rnacentral:rRNA from 1 species